rnacentral:rRNA from 1 species
GUGAGGAAUAUUGGACAAUGGAUGGAAAUCUGAUCCAGCCAUGCCGCGUGCAGGAAGACGGCCCUAUGGGUUGUAAACUGCUUUUAUACGGGAGCAAUAAGGUCUAUGCAUAGAUUGAUGAGAGUACCGUAUGAAUAAGCAUCGGCUAACUCCGUGCCAGCAGCCGCGGUAAUACGGAGGAUGCGAGCGUUAUCCGGAUUUAUUGGGUUUAAAGGGUGCGUAGGCGGCUUUGUAAGUCAGCGGUGAAAUUUUGCAGCUUAACUGUAAAAGCGCCGUUGAUACUGUGCAGCUAGGAUUUGGUUGCUGUGGGCGGAAUGUGUGGUGUAGCGGUGAAAUGCAUAGAGAUCACACAGAAUAUCGAUUGCGAAGGCAGCUCACAAAGCCAAUAUUGACGCUGAGGCACGAAAGUGUGGGGAUCAAACAGGAUUAGAUACCCGAGUAGUCC